UACGAAGGGGGCUAGCGUUGCUCGGAAUCACUGGGCGUAAAGGGUGCGUAGGCGGGUUUUUAAGUCAGAGGUGAAAUCCUGGAGCUCAACUCCAGAACUGCCUUUGAUACUGGGAAUCUUGAGUAUGGAAGAGGUGAGUGGAACUGCGAGUGUAGAGGUGAAAUUCGUAGAUAUUCGCAAGAACACCAGUGGCGAAGGCGGCUCACUGGUCCAUAACUGACGCUGAGGCACGAAAGCGUGGGGAGCAAACAGGAUUAGAUACCCGCGUAGUCC
rnacentral:rRNA from 1 species